ACAGGUUGGGAUCGGUUGCAAUGCUGUGUUUCUGUAUGGUAUUGCACUUGUCCCGGCCUGU
rnacentral:pre_miRNA from 1 species